rnacentral:rRNA from 1 species
CGGCGGACGGGUGAGUAAUGCCUAGGAAUCUGCCUGGUAGUGGGGGACAACGUUUCGAAAGGAACGCUAAUACCGCAUACGUCCUACGGGAGAAAGCAGGGACCUUCGGGCCUUGCGCUAUCAGAUGAGCCUAGGUCGGAUUAGCUAGUUGGUGAGGUAAUGGCUCACCAAGGCGACGAUCCGUAACUGGUCUGAGAGGAUGAUCAGUCACACUGGAACUGAGACACGGUCCAGACUCCUACGGGAGGCAGCAGCA